UGCUCUGGUGGCCUAGUGGUUAGAGCAUCCGCCUUAGAUGUGGGAGGUCAUGGGUUCAAUCCCCAGCCAAGUUA